AAGCUUUUUCCUUUCAAUUGAAUCUAAAACUAUACUGUAUUGAAUAGUGAGAACAAAGGUGCUAAUCUGUAGUACUGAGAAAGGCCAAUUAUGCCCUCUGCAUCAGACAGGGCUUAAUAUGAUUUUAAAUAAUUGCCAAAUUAGAUGCAUAUGAAUGUAGUUUUACUAUUUACUCAAAACCCUUAGGGAGGAAUUACGCUAAGCCCAGCAGCAGACAUUUUGUGUUACCAUGGCAGCCCAUAUUUCCUGCAGGGUUGUGACCCCUAAUUGCAAUGUUUCUCGAUGGAUUACAGACAGGAAAAAGUACUGAGCAUACUCAACUUUAUGUAAGCAUUGGGCAUGCAGUCCACCUUUUCUUGUUGGAAGCGGUUCAAGGGGUCGAUUGGGCUGAACACUACUGAGAACUGGUAUUGUGUCUCCAUGCUAACCAGCUGAAGGGUGGCAAACCUUGACUUGGAUGACUUAGCUGCAGUUCAUUGUGCUUGUAGAUAUCAUUAUGGCUAUCUCCUUAAAAAAAAAGCUUUUGAGUAGAUGAGUUGGAUUUGGUGCCUUCCAUUGGGUGAGCUCUCUCUGAGCCUCUGACUCCACAGUGCAUGGAUUUCACAAUGCUUCCCCUCUCCCCUGCUUGGUACAGCUAUACCACAGUGUUGGCAACAGGCUUCUGCAGUCAAUUCAUUGGGCUGUCAUUGAAUCCAGAUGAGACCAAACAUGA
rnacentral:lncRNA from 1 species